rnacentral:lncRNA from 1 species
CUGAUUUCUUAUGAACAUCUUAAGGGACAAACAGAUUACUGUAACUUAAGGUAUCUCACUGCAGCAAAACAUAAGCUCUGAAUCUUUCCCUACUCCGGAAGGAAGAUAUAGUCUUUGUAUUAGAAGACUGUAACUGUAAAAGGGUUGGAUAGUUUAUUUAUCUGAGCCAAAACUUACACUCAAAGAGGAUCCAGGUCAAUGGAUGUCCUGACUGGUCUGCUUCAUGAAGAUCGGACUUGUAAAGAGCGAGGUCAGUCAAAAUUAGAUUGGAAUUGACUGAGAGAGAAACCUAUCAAUUCCCACUGGAAGCGGAGCUGUUAUACAGGACCUCCUCUCCUGAACUAUCCUGUGGUGAACAUCAACUCCUUCAAUACUUACAAUGCAAAAGGAAAGUGCCUGAAAUUCCUGAGAUAAACAUAAAAAAAAAAAAAAAAAAAACAACAACCAUACUUUCCCUUAUCUGCUUAAACAGUCGCAUAGUCAGUGAUUUUUUUUUUUAUCUCUAGAGUUGAGAUACCCAUUUUCAUAUUCAAGCUUUAACUUCAAACCUGACUCUACUUCCCAGAAGGUCCUCUAGAAAUUGACAUUUUGAACAAUUCUGUUCAUAAUGUGCUUUGGAUUUGAUAAAUUUUAUUUUCCAGAUCGAGUGAUUGCUUUGGGAGAUUUAUUUCAGACAAAUAGGCUGAUUUGAGCAUGAGGUGUUGCAGAACAUUGGGGAAAUUCAAUACUAUUUUGGAAUAGAGGAAU